GCGGAUGGAGCUGAAGCCAGUCGAAGAUACCAGCUGGCUGCAACUGUUUAAUAAAAACACAGCACUGUGCAAACACGAAAGUGGACGUAUACGGUGUGACGCCUGCCCGGUGCUGGAAGGUUAAUUGAUGGGGUCAGCCGCAAGGCGAAGCUCUUGAUCGAAGCCCCAGUAAACGGCGGCCGUAACUAUAACGGUCCUAAGGUAGCGAAAUUCCUUGUCGGGUAAGUUCCGACCUGCACGAAUGGCGUAAUGAUGGCCAGGCUGUCUCCACCCGAGACUCAGUGAAAUUGAACUCGCUGUGAAGAUGCAGUGUACCCGCGGCAAGACGGAAAGACCCCGUGAACCUUUACUAUAGCUUGACACUGAACAUUGAGCCUUGAUGUGUAGGAUAGGUGGGAGGCUUUGAAGCGUGGACGCCAGUCUGCGUGGAGCCAUCCUUGAAAUACCACCCUUUAAUGUUUGAUGUUCUAACUCGGCCCC
rnacentral:rRNA from 1 species